rnacentral:rRNA from 1 species
AUACGUAGGGGGCAAGCGUUGUCCGGAAUCAUUGGGCGUAAAGAGCGUGUAGGCGGCCCGGUAAGUCGGCUGUGAAAGUCAGGGGCUCAACCCUUGAAAGCCGGCCGAUACUGUCGGGCUAGAGUCCGGAAGAGGCGAGUGGAAUUCCUGGUGUAGCGGUGAAAUGCGCAGAUAUCAGGAGGAACACCAAUGGCGAAGGCAGCUCGCUGGGACGGUACUGACGCUGAGACGCGAAAGCGUGGGGAGCAAACAG